rnacentral:rRNA from 1 species
UACGAAGGGUGCAAGCGUUACUCGGAAUUACUGGGCAUAAAGCGUGCGUAGGCGGUUUGUUAAGUCUGUCGUGAAAGCCCUGGGCUCAACCUGGGAAUUGCGAUGGAUACUGGCAAGCUAGAGUACGGUAGAGGAUGGUGGAAUUCCCGGUGUAGCGGUGAAAUGCGUAGAUAUUGGGAGGAACACCAGUGGCGAAGGCGGCUCACUGGACCGGAACUGACGCUGAGGCGCGAAAGCGUGGGUAGCAAACAGG